GACGAACCGAGCGAACGUUGUUCGGAAUCACUGGGCUUAAAGGGCGCGUAGGCGGGCUGUCAAGUUUGGGGUGAAAUCCCGCGGCUCAACCGUGGAACUGCCUCAAAUACUGACGGUCUCGAGGGGGGUAGGGGCGAGCGGAACUGUGAGUGGAGCGGUGAAAUGCGUUGAUAUUCACAGGAACUCCGGUGGCGAAGGCGGCUCGCUGGACCUCUUCUGACGCUGAGGCGCGAAAGCCAGGGGAGCAAACGGGG
rnacentral:rRNA from 1 species